rnacentral:rRNA from 1 species
UACGUAGGUGGCAAGCGUUGUCCGGAUUUACUGGGCGUAAAGAGCGCGCAGGCGGUCGUUCAAGUCGCGUGUGAAAGCCCCCGGCUCAACUGGGGAGGGUCACGCGAUACUGAUCGACUGGAAGGCAGGAGAGGGUAGUGGAAUUCUCGGUGUAGCGGUGAAAUGCGUAGAUAUCGAGAGGAACACCUGCGGCGAAGGCGGGUUGCUGGGCUGACACUGACGCUGAUGCGCGAAAGCCAGGGGAGCGAACGGG